AGGCUAUGGCAUAAGUCUGGGCAGGUUAUCCUCAGUAUAGCUGCAGGGGACACCAUUCACAUCAAAGUAUACGUGAGUCAGACCAUUGGUUUUCUUAAACUUGGUUGCACAUUGGAAUCACUUGGGUGACUUUAAAUAUUAUUGACAUCUUGGUCUCUCCUCUAGAGAGUCUGAUUUAAUUGGUCUGAGAUGCAGUGUUGGCACUGGGAUUUUUCAAGCUGUUCAGGUGGCUCUAAUAUGUGGCCAUGUUUGAGAACCACUGAAUUAGACUAUGCUGUGAAUGGUGUCCGCUGGGGGAUGUGUGGUGUACAAUGUCUUAGCCCGUCAAAUUGGCCCUGCCCAUACACAUAUGUCAUCUUCAAUGACCUGAACUUGCUAGUAGGGGAGAUCACAGAUUAAAUACAUACUUCUCUGCCUCUUGAGUCAGUUUCCCUGAGGUUGAAGAGAGUGUAGGUACUGACCUCUGAGCCUUUGAAGGCUCUCUUAUACUUUCUGCAUCCUCUGAAGGAUGAGGGAGAGGCAGGGGUCUAAUCCUGCUGAAAAUGGGGAGUUUGUCAAGCUGGGUUUUGGAGGCUGCCUGUCUGUCACUCUACCCAGGGGAAUCAUGCUGUUUUGAUCUCCUGGCUGAGUGAUUUAGGCCCUCAGAAGAAUCUGGCUUGUUUCCCCUGAUGCCUAGGUUAUAAAUCAGCCACUGUUAGCAGCUGCAUUUUACUCUGUCAGACCACAAGGGAACUGUAGUAGUUUUUACUGAAUUAGCAACUUAAUUGCACUAAAUAUAGCUCUAAUGCCCCAAAGAAGUUAUGGCAGCUCCCAAAGGUGUCUGGCUUCCUAUACUCUCCCCCCUCUCUCCCCACCCUGAACUCAGAGAACCAGUUAAACUCUGAGCAAUUCAAAUCAUUAAAUCCCAGCUUCUGGAAUGAAUGUACUUUGUUAUGAAUAUGUCAAUAUCAUUAAAUCCUGCCAUGUGAAUUUAAUGUCACUGUUUCCCUAACAACUAACGUCCUUCACAUGUGAAGAUGGGGGACAUGGAAAAUCCCACAAAAACUUAGAGAAGUGAGACAAGUAUGUGACACAGUAAGUUCUUGGUGUCAUGGUACAGUCCAAACCUUGCCUGUUUUAUGAGUUAGAUGCUCUGUAACUCAUUGAUGCUUCCCGCUGAUGAGUGCAUCUGUUGUUCUAAAAUUACAAGGCAAGCUUCUUGGGCUAAAACCUUACAUCUGGCAUGUGUAUUUAGACUUGGCAUUUCAAAGUUAGUAUUUUUGGUUCAGCAGAGGGAUUCAAAACAAACAUUUUCUGAAAAGUUCCACAUUCUUGAGCGGAUAGUUGAAUCUAGCCUGAGUAAGAGAGGAAGGACCAAGUAUGGAAGAGGCCGCUAGCUGCUACCCAGCAUCCGUUCUACUCUCUUCCCUUUGCAAUAGAACAGCAGGAACAAAAAACAACCCUGUUUCCCAGAACGCCUUGAGCUUGUUGAAGCCACAGGACCAAACUCUGGUUGGUGAGGCAGAAGUGGAAGUAGAACAUGGAGCUUCCAGGAAGGCUUUCUUUAAGAGAAUCUAAUCAGAUGUGAGGUUUGUCCUUUUUUCAUUUCUUUUUCUUUUCUUUUCCCUUCUGCCUUCUAGAAUGGGGACAUAAUGCCAAACUUCCACAGUCACUUGGGACCAUGAGAUGACUUUGAAGAAGAAUGCAAGGUUUGAAAAGAUGUCAGCUGAAUACGCAAGUCUAAGUAGCCAUGGGGUGCCUCCUGCCACAGGCCUUCGAGAACCGCAGAGGAAGCUGGGAGGUCCAUCCAGGCGUCAGCGGAGCACCGGGACCAGAAAGGUGACCCCCAAGGGAGCCCAUAGAGGACUUCAGUGACAACAUGGAUGUGUGAAAACUCUUUCACACACAUGGAGCCAGGUGCUGGCUGUGUGGAGGAACCUGCAUGGGGCCAAGUGGUGUGAGUUGCAGUCUGCAGACAGCGCCCUGGUGACCUUGACAAGCACGGCCACUACUGAGAACCAGGCAGGAAACUCUCUUUGUUGGUAAGAAGUCUACGCCUUGGUUCCUAUGAGGAUCUUCUGUUUGGGGGAGCAACACCAGCCAUUGGGGGGACAUGGGGCUUCAGCCGGCUCUGCUCCAGGGAUCCAACAGUCAACAAAGCCAAUGAGGCACCCCAGAGGUCAGAAGCUGAAAACAGAUACCCACAGCCAGUUCUUCACAAACAAGAGGUUUUAUUUUUAUGCUGUACCCCCACCCUCUGCCAAAUAAGUGGGGAGGGUUCUGAAAGGGCUGAUUUUGUAGUCGAGAGCCACUGAGGGCAAGUGAAACUGAGAUUCAUGCCUGGCACAGGGGAGCAAAGGAAGAAGGACCGUGGUGUCUGGGGAGUGCCCCACCUGUGCUAGACACCUCCCAGGGUUCUGCAGGAGGGAGUGAACCCAGACCCACACUGCACAGGGGAUCUGUCCCUCUGUGGGCCCAAGGGCAGAAAGAAGACAUCCUAAGAGCUUUGUGAAAGUAUCUUCCCCUUGGUGGCCAGGCCCCACCUCAUAGGCCUCAGUAAUUCCUGUCCUACCCUGUCAGGAUGGUCAGCUAUCAUCCAUCUCUCCAGCCAAAAGACCCAGCCCUAGUCGGCUCCUGGGAGAUGUUUCCAGACAACAUUACAUUCUUAAGGAGCCUGUCUCCUUUGAUUAACAAAACCUUUUAGUUUUCUUCUGAAUUCUAUAUAGACAGCCAGAACAUGUGCCCCACUGAAGGCAAGGGUAGGGAAGGGUGUUCCCUGGUGCCCUGGUCUCUUGGGUCUGAGCUUUGCCAGCAAGGUCACUAUUACCCCCAGAUGACUCUGGGUCUUGGCCAAACCAGUAAGUGUUCACUCAGAUCACAGCUCCCUCCCCAUUUAGGCCAUUCAGUAGCUUUCCAGUUGCUCUCCAGACACAACCUAAAAGGAGCAACGAGGCUGACCCCUUGGGUUCUGGCCUGGGCACUGAACCUUUGAGCAUGUGCCUGAAACCAGGGCCACUUCCCCCACUGAUAAUCUCAGCGUGGAUAGCAUAGCCUGGACCAGACAGACUCUAACCCACUGUCCCAGGGUCGCAGUCCUCCAUACUGCAAGAAAGAAUGCUAAAAGGCAGACUUCUGGCUGACAAACUGGAAACCUGUCAGGAAUAUAUCCUUGCUGGUCAGAGAGACCAAGGAAGGACCUGGGGUUGGGAUCCAAAAGCCAUGCAGUGGGCUUACCAUCAUGCUGGUGCCCGCCACCCCAAAUAAAGACAGAGAGCGUGUUGUCCAGAAGCCAGAGAGCAAGGGGGUGGGAUUGUCGAGUAGCAGAAGGCAUCUCUGUUUGAGUGCGGCUGCAGCGGGACUGUCAGUUUCCACAGCCUGCAAGACGCCCCCUGACACCUAGGGGUUGCCAGCCAUCUCCCUCCUUCUCUUUGACUGGGUAUCAGCAGCUGUUCCUGCAGCUCCCAGCACAAUCCUCAGAGGUCAAGAUACACCAGUCACAUGGCUAUACAUUCUGAACAGCGCUCCCU